rnacentral:lncRNA from 1 species
UACAAUUCAGACACCAUAAGCUGGUGAUAAAUCAAUUUCUACGCAAUUCAUAAACUAAUUUCUAUACAAUUCAUAAAUCAUGAUACACCAAUUUCUAUACAAAUCAUGAUCCAUAAAAUCAUUGUUACACCAAUUUUUAUAUAACUUAGACACCAUAAAGCUGGUGAUAGACCAAUUUCUAUACAGUUCAUACAUCAAUUUCUAUACAACUCAUACAUCACAAUACACCAAUUUCUAUACAAUUCAUGAAAAAGUAGAAGUAGAUUUAUAGACAUUAUUGUUUCAAUUAAUCCAAAGAUGCCAAAGAGCAAACAGAAGAAAGUCGACCCAGUCAUAGUGAGAGGGAGAGGCCGAAUUGGAAGGAAAAUUUUGUUUUUUUAACCCAAUCAUCCAAUGAUUGUUCAAAUAGUUCAGUUGGUUAAUGUUUAACCCAAUGUCAAGCCAAUUUUUUUUUUUUUUUUUUUUAGCAAUAAAGCAGAGAAAGAUGAUAUGGGGGAUGGAUUCUUCUUCCAACUUGUAAAUUGGGCAAAGAGGGUUGUCGGCAAUAUUUAGACGGGAAAGGUAUUGCAUGGUUAUUGUUUUGAGGGUAACGCGUGGGCUACCAUCAAUCUCACACUAGAUCUCCCUUUCAGAGUCUGCCCCAAAUAGUUGGAUGAAAUAUUCAUCAGUUGGUGUAAUCGAUGGAGUGUUCUGUUGAGAAAAUGCCAAUGGCUGCAACUUUUAUGCAGGACGUUUAGUGAUAUUGGGCAUUAAGGAAUAGGGAUUUGGAUAUGAAAUUUUCGAGAAAGAAGAAUAAUGUGAGAAAAGGAUUAGAAUUUUUAAUAUAAG